UCCAUCUAGGCACUCUCAGUCUCCAGUCGUCUCCUCCUCUUCGCCGUCACCACCGACAACCUAUUCGCCAUUUAAGAGUCAAGGAGAUGGUGAAGAAAGGGAAGGAGAACGGGAUGAAAUUCUUGGACUAACGAAGGAGGUUGAUGAGUUGGUGAAGCAGAAGAAGGAUUCGGAGAAAAAAAUUAUUGGAUUGAAAGGAUUGGGGUGUCCGACAAGAGGAGUCUGGGUGAGAAGGCUGAGGAGAUUGAAUUGCUGAAGGUUGAGAUUGAGCGGAUUGAGAAGGAGAGAUGUGAUUAAUUGUCAAGAUAGAGUUCAUGGAGAAAGAUUUAAAUUUCAAAUUAAGAAUCUCAACAACAAGGGGAGCCAAAAUUAACUAACGCAUAUAUAAGUGAAGUAUGCAGUGAGAUUGUGAAACCACACUCAAUUUUUAACAUCUCAACAGCUGAAAGUUAUAGUCUUCGAAUCAAAUUUUUAACAGGAUCUAACAAACAAAUUGGUAAGACUUGAGUAAGAACCAUCAUCAAGCCUCGGUAAAGCUCUAGAUUUCCGAAAGAAGACCAACCCAUAAACUGAAAACGGUUGAGAAGCAUCAAUCAGAUGUCAGUUUCACUAUUCCCAGUUAUCGCAAACAGAAAACCAUCAUAGCGUAGCUAGCCGCUGAAUGUAAAAGAAAGCAGUUUCACUUCUUAGAACAAGCAAAGACCUAAAAUCGAAAAUGACCACAAUUCAUCGCAAACGACAUUCAUGGAAAAGAGAUCUAACCUUGGAAACAAAGUAGGCUGCAAAGUUGAGACUAGCACCAGAAAGCAACUUAGCUUUUCUAUAUCGGUACAUGAUGAGAUAGAUUUCUUGGUUUGGUCUUUGAAUUACAGCUUGGGGUAGAAGCGAAGACUUGGGAGUUCUGGUAGUAGCUCUCUCUUUCUUUUCUUCUGGGUAGCUUCUGCUUUUGCUGUCUAUGUAUGUUAUCUUGUUGUUAUCAUGAGCAUGAGCUCAAACUCUAAACUUGGAUAUUAUUUUGUUGUUAACAACAUUUAUUCUUCUUUAUUUUCCUAUUAAGUAACAGAGUUAUGAAAUGGAGAGCG
rnacentral:lncRNA from 1 species